rnacentral:rRNA from 1 species
GAACGCUGGCGGCAUGCCUUACACAUGCAAGUCGAACGGCAGCGGGGGGAGCUUGCUCCCUGACGGCGAGUGGCGGACGGGUGAGUAACACGUAGGAAUCUACCUUAAUUAUAAUAGUUAGUGGGGGAUAACCCGGGGAAACUCGGGCUAAUACCGCAUAAUCUCUUCAAAGCAAAGUGGGGGAUCUUCGGACCUCGUGCUAUGAGAUGAGCCUGCGUCGGAUUAGCUAGUUGGUAGGGUAAUGGCCUACCAAGGCGACGAUCCGUAGCUGGUCUGAGAGGACGAUCAGCCACACUGGGACUGAGACACGGCC